AUUGAACGCUGGCGGCAGGCCUAACACAUGCAAGUCGAACGAGUGGCGGACGGGUGAGUAAUGCUUGGGAAUCUGGCUGAUGGAGGGGGAUAACUACGGGAAACUGUAGCUAAUACCGCAUACCAUAGGAUGAGCCCAAGUGGGAUUAGGUAGUUGGUGGGGUAAAGGCUCACCAAGCCGACGAUCUCUAGCUGGUCUGAGAGGAUGACCAGCCACACUGGGACUGAGACACGGCCCAGACUCCUACGGGAGGCAGCAGUGGGGAAUAUUGCGCAAUGGGGGCAACCUGACGCAGCCAUGCCGCGUGAAUGAAGAAGGCCUUCGGGUUGUAAAGUACUUUCGGUGGGGAGGCGUUAACCACAGAAGAAGCACCGGCUAACUCCGUGCCAGCCGCCGCGGUAAUAC
rnacentral:rRNA from 1 species